AACUCUGACGGCCGUGUUCCGAGCUCCCAAAGCGCCCCUCGCGGUCCGCGGGCUGCCUUGAAACCUCACCCUGCCGGCUUCCAGGAGGGCUGCGCCAAGUACAGCAGUGGUGUUGGAAACGUUGUUGCAAAAUCCGUGCCCGCGCUGGUGGGCCAGACGCGCGGAGAGGCCUGGAAAGGUGUUUGGCAUCUGAUGUUGAGUGGCAUCUUCUGGCUCAAACCUGGCAGUUGAACAGCAAGUGGAUGGGAAAGAACCUUGACAACACAAAACUCAUUUACUAAUGGACUGGUUUUGAGUUUCUCUUCUCCGGGUCCGCAGAUCGCCCUGCCUGAGCUCUCGGCCUAUUCAGACCUCGCGGGGAGCAGAGUCCCCCAGGAGGCAGGUGGGAGGCUGCUCCCGCGGCGCCGCGUGGGUCGUCAGAGCCCGGGAUACCCAGGGUCGAGGACACCCGGAGUUUCCGAACAAGCAGAGGAAAAAGAUGAAUGUUGUCACUUCCACCAGGAUUUGGGGGGGUCUCCGCACUGCUCCUGAGCGACGAUGCUAAUUUGUUGAAAAAACACCUCCCGACGUCCUUCCCUUCCAAAUUACCAGUAGUUAAAGUAGGAUCCCCGCUGUUCUUGAUGGCGAAGGAAUUCCAAGAAAGCGGGCCUGGAGCCCCAAAGCAUCGCGCUGCAAGCCAGAAAGGAAAGACGUGGGUCCUAGCCAGAGGGUUUUGAACCAAGGCCUCAUGUCAACUCAGCCAGAAACUCCAGUAGCAACUAGUGCCUCGGCUUUGGCUCUUCCAUAAGGCCAGUUGUGCGCACCCAGCCGUUCCCUGCGUAGAGGAGGCACAUCGGAGCUACACCCGGCGUCGGGCACCCUCUGCCAGCGCGUUACCCUCGAGAGCCAAGAUGCGGCGAGGGCAGCAGCUAGAGUUGCACGUUCCCUUUAAAUCUCCGACGCAUCUCUGUUUUUCGUGUGAUUUGCAUUGACAGCAAGGGUUUUAAGUUACUAGAACAACUCAAACCUUUCUGUGUGCGAUUUAAAAUGGAUCAUUUGGUUUAUGUGGUUUGUAAAUUCAUGUCAUUUUACCUCUUUUAGUGGUUUUCAGUGAAAGGUUCCAUUUUGGGAAACCUUAUAUAUCCGAGCCAAUAAUUAACACUUAUAACAAUUGGUUCCUCUAACCAAGGGAUCGAAAUAGCAGGUAGUCUCGUUAGUACAAAGCGAAUAGCACUUUUCCUUUCUAGUUACGCGGUCUAUCGGGUUAAACGCAACGAGAAGGGCUGGCGGGGCCUCGGCAGGGCCUCCGAGAUGGAGCACUGCGCCUCAGCAACCCUGGUGCCUGCGGCAACCACAGCGUCCACAGGGUCGUCUUCCCAGGUAUCGCCAAGGUCUAGGAUGUCCUGGCCUCUUUGAAGAGAGAUGAAAAG